AGAAAGAAAGAAAGAAAGAAAGAAAGAAAGAAAGAAAGGUUAAAGAAGAAGAAGAAGAAGAAAGAGCUUUGAAAAACAUGCCCUCAAUGAAAGAACUUUCUUGACUCCGUGAUGCAAACAGCUUUCAGGCAAUAAUCACCGCGGGCACCACAGUGGUGACUGAGGUUGGGGCCAGCUCGGGAAAGUGACGCCCAUCUGGAGGAGGCGUGGAAGAAGGGUGGACGAUCCUGAGGCAGAGCCCUUCCCGUAGGACACCGUGCCUGCUUAUCAGGAGCAAAGCCGCUCUCUCCGCCAGAAGGUGACUGUGGGGGCUCUGGCUCCCCCCUCCAGCCUCCAGCCCGACUCCUAUGGAGGAAACGCUGAAUUCUCUCCCCCGUUCAGGUUUCUACCCACCGCCCCCCCCACCCCCAAACAAUUUUGCAUAUAUUUAAAUCUCCUCUGCCGUUUCCAGUCUGAGCCGCAACCCCCCCCCCCCCAGAAAAAGAGAAAAAGAAAUUACAAAGCCCGUCAUCUGUCUCCGUCCCCGCACCCCAUCUAUCAGGGCCCGAGCGCGUCGCCUGGAAGGAGGCGCGCGCCCGGACGGCCGCUUUAAUGGGGCGCCGCGUGUGACUGUGCGGCCGCGGCGGGCGCAGCCGGCCGGCAUUUGCAUACAUAUUAAACGGAGCAGUAAAAAAUGCAGACAUGCAAACCAUUUGGACGGGCUCCUCGGCGCAGAGCCUGCCAGGAAAUCAAUCUUCUGGUUUCUUAAAGGAAACCUGCUCGGGAGGAGGUGGCGAAGCCAGGCAGCCCGCGGGCCUUGGGAGGGGGCGGCCGUCAUCUGUCCAUCUGUCCGCGGGAGCCCAGCCGGCUGUGGGGGUCCUUCCCGGCCACGGCCUCGGUGCACCGCGGACAGGGAGCGGGGACGCGGAGCCGCCGUCAGCCGGGGCGGCGGCGGGCCCUUGGCCGGGCCGGCUGUGCGCCCCAAAAGCAAGAGGCUCGGCCACUCUGAGCUCCCCUCACCCCGUGGGCUGUGACCCUUUGGCGGGGCGUCUCCCCCUGCCCGGUGGGUGCUAAAGUUCCUCCCUGGCUUUAAACUCCCUCCCUACGCCUGCGUGGCCUGGCGAGGCGCUGCUCCCUCGAGCCUCCUGACCUGCAAAUGGGGUGUGUGAUUCUCAGAGGAACGUCUAGCUCACUCGGGUCACCUACCCCGCCCUCCAGAGACGCGGGGUCCCAGUAUUACCCUGAGCAAGCCCCGGAGGACUGUCCCUAGCACCACGAAAGGCAAGGGGCCCAGAGCCUUAGCAGAAACAGACUGCCGCCCGUUCCGCCCACCCCCUCCCUUAAUUCCACUUUACAGAUACGGAAACUGAGGCUCUGUAAGAGGUGCCACCACCAGGAGGCUUGAGACAGGGGGAGCCGGAGAUUCCAAUGGGCUCCGAGUGACCGUGGAGGGGCCUCCCCAGACCCCAGACGGCACUGGUCAGUACUGUCAGGGGACGGACGGAGCUCAUUCCGGGGUGUCGGGGAAUGCUGUUCUCCCAGAGAAGGCGGGUGUGCCUGCGGAGAAAGAAAUUCAUUUGGUGCCUGGGCGGUACCGUGAAGGUCCUUCCUUGAAGGGGACUGGAAUAAGGAAGGAAAAGGGGGCUUUCGAGAACCAGCUCGAGUUUGUCCUCCAUCCGUUCACGCCGCACUCCUGGAGGUGACGGGUGGAGGUGACCAGCGGCCCCAGGACAGGCUAAGCAGUGGGCAGCACCAGGGAGGUGGGGAGGGGAGGGUUGCGCCCAGCCCCCCCGAGAGCCAACAUCCUCUCUGAGCCCCUGGGGCUUGAGCGAAGAGCCCAGCCAGGGCUGGGGGAGGGGGGCCUUUGCCUUCAGUGGGGAGAGCUUCCCACUCCGGUGGGCGGUGCCUCCCUGUGUGACCUUGGGCAAAGGCCCUGCCCUCUCUGGGCCAAGGUGGCUGAGCUGACUGUACUCCUCUGUCUCCCCUUGGAAGUCCCUCCCUUUCACCUCUGGCCUCCAAGCUCUCUGGGCCUCAGUGCCUUCUGCAGGCUCCAGGGUACAGGCCGGGCAGGCAGGGGGGGAGGAAGCCGGCAGGGCGGGAAAAGGCGGGAGGGGCAGGAGUUACAGGAACCGGCUGGGCCCCGGCGAUUGCUCAACUGGGGAGCCUGGCCCUGCCGCCUCCACUUCCAGCAGCCGGCCCUCCCUCCCAGCUCUGCAUUGCAAACAUUCCUCACCAACCUCGGAGGCUGCUGCCCCCCCCCCCCAGGGGGAACUGCCGCAGACACAGCACGAGGCCGCCAGGAACGCUUAACCCCUUCCGUCCUUCCAGGCAGAGCCUUCGGGGCCGCGAGGAUAGAGCUGGGUGGCCAGCGGGGUUCCCAGGUUCUGAGUGACCGGGUCAGGUGGAUAGCCGGCCCCAGGCGACCAGCCUGAGUCAACAGGCUGUAUGUCGGGUCCCUGCAGUCUCCCGUCAUGGAUUCACUCUGCAGACAUUUCCAGAGCUCUCCCGGGAUGCUGGGCCUGGGUAAUUGGACAGGGAGGUCCUCAUGGAGCCCACGUUCCAUUGUGUGUGUGUGUGUGUGUGUGUGUGUGUGUGUGUGAGUGGAGAGGGGUUAUCAGAUAAAGAGGAGUUUUUUAGAUCAUUGCCAUGAUGAGCGCUACAAAGGAGAAGUACAGGGUGAGCCUGAGCACGAGCUAAAGUGCUCAAUUAGGCAGGGAGGGCUUCCUGGAGGAAGUGACAUUUAGGGAGCCAUGAAAAGAGGGGUGUUCUAGGUAGCAACGCGAGGCUCCAGAGAGAAGAGAGAGGGAGAGGUCGGCAUGUUCCAGUCUGUGUGUCUGAAGGAGAGAGGGUGAGGGGUGGAGAGUCCUCAGGUGGGAGGGCUUGGCCUGCGCCAGGCUCCAGAAGGCCUUGGGGCCACUCCCAGGCUCAGACUGUCUUCCGAGGGCAGUGAGGAGCCAUGGAUGGUUCCACCAGGGGAACGCCACAGUCAGAUCCAACUCUAGGCACUAGGAUUCCCUCGAGUGAAAAACAGAACCUUAACAGAGAGAGGGAGCUCGCAUGUUUUCACAGACCAGAUACAGUCUAAGCCCAGAACACCUGAACCACGCCAAAGUGCCACCAACAGGAGACAUUUCAAAUGGCAGCCUGGCAGCCGGGCCUGGCACUGGAUUCUCCUGGGGCCCGGGUGGCCACUCUGAGCCUUGCGGUCGCCAGGCCGGCCGCAGGCAGCGGGCUCAGGCCGGCUCCUCCUCUGCUCCAGACCCCACUCUGCAGACAGCUGGAGCUCCAUAAAUGCAGCAAUCAGCGCGCUGACAUUAAGAGGGGCUGAGAGAUCAUUCAGGCCCGUGGCCUCCUCCCUGCACAGGUGAAGAAACAGACCCCGGGACAGCUUCCCCUGGGGGCAGGUGUGGCAGCGCACGUGUUCAGGGAGGAGGCCAGCCUGCCCAGCCUGCCUGUGACCUUGGCACCCACAGAGGAGACCCCCCCCCCCAAGCCCAGAAAACCAAGAACCGUUUGGACACUGGCAGUCACUAAACCCAGCUCGUGUCUGCUCCUCCGCUCCCUUGGAGCUUGAAAGAAUGAGCCAGAGGACAACGUAAGCUGGUAGGAAACUUCUAGACCGUAUUGUUUCCACUGUGGACACAUUUUCUUCUCUCCCUCUCCUUCUCUUUCGUUUUAAUGAAGCAUUACCCAGAACACCAACAUACCCAGGAGAUGGAAACAGAGUUGCCCUGAUUGGACAGGAGAGGGGUGUCCUUGGACUUGCCCCAUGCACGCCCGGGCGAUCUCUGUGUCUUCCUGGCUGGCCCCAGGCUCCUCGGAACGGACGGAGGGCCAGCAGACGGGAAACUGAGGACCGUGGAGUCACCUGCCUGGGGUCGCACAGCUAACCGCAAAUGGGCAGGCCUGGGGGGGUGCGGGUGUCUCAGGCCCCCAGGGAACCCGCUCCUGAACACUAGGCCUCACUGCCUCCCAGCCUGAGGAUGUGAUCACUUCUCACAGCGACGAGGCUCCGGUAAACCCAAGACCCCCCACACCCCCACCCCGGCUCACCCCGAUCCCGCGUCUUGUCCACGUACGUGAAAUAAAUAUUUUAUCUCAGCCAUUUAUUAUCUGUUUAUCUUUGGCAUUUAUGCCUCCGAAGUUCACUCUCCGGCCUUCUCCACAUGGGUUCACCCGGGGUCACCGACUUGGUCUCUGAACUUCUAGAAGGCAGACCUACUUGGGCUCUUAUCGCCCUCAUCACAAAAUAAUCUCAUUUUGUGCGUUUCAUAGGAAGGGGUGGCCUAACUUGGAAACAUUGCUGGAACCCACUGGUUGGGGACAAGGAUUGCGUGUCGCCAUGAUGCCCGAGAGGCACCCAGCACAGGGGGAGCACUCGAUAAAUGGGGCUGGGUUAUUACGGUUCCUUUCGUUCCCUGUCCUCGUCCUCUUUCCUUAUAUCAUAGGUUAGCAGGUCACUAGUCAGAGUUCCUAACUGACACUCAAUGGCAAGAACCCAACUGUGCGAAUGAGGCAAGUUACCUUCCCAUACCGCAGUGAUUGGUUACUGGGUCGUCAACUUGCAAGAUGAUCUCCAGACGAUUCCUACCUCCCGGUGUUCACAUUGCUUUUCUUUUCUUUUUUUUUUUUUUUAAUG